CCUACGGGCGGCAGCAGUGAGGAAUAUUGGUCAAUGGACGAGAGUCUGAACCAGCCAAGUAGCGUGAAGGAUGACUGCCCUAUGGGUUGUAAACUUCUUUUAUAUGGAAAUAAAACGUUCCACGUGUGGGAUUUUGUAUGUACCAUAUGAAUAAGGAUCGGCUAACUCCGUGCCAGCAGCCGCGGUAAUACGGAGGAUCCGAGCGUUAUCCGGAUUUAUUGGGUUUAAAGGGAGCGUAGGUGGAUUGUUAAGUCAGUUGUGAAAGUUUGCGGCGCAACCGUAAAAUUGCAGUUGAAACUGGCAGUCUUGAGUACAGUAGAGGUGGGCGGAAUUCGUGGUGUAGCGGUGAAAUGCUUAGAUAUCACGAAGAACUCCGAUUGCGAAGGCAGUUCACUGGACUGCAACUGACACUGAGGCUCGAAAGUGUGGGUAUCAAACAGGAUUAGAUACCCUUGUAGUC
rnacentral:rRNA from 1 species